rnacentral:antisense_RNA from 1 species
UUUGUUUUGUUUUUUGUUUGUUUGGGGUUUUUUUUUGCAUAUGGCUUGUAAGAAGGGACUUGGGAUGAUGAAAGGUGACAUACACUGAAAUUGAUAAUGUAGCAAAAUUAAAAUGAACGGCAUAGCAAAAUGAACAGUUUAUAGUAUUUUCCUCGUGUGCCUCAAACAAAUGAUUGUAACAAGAAAUAUUUAGAAGGUAUUAUAACAAUCAUUCUGGCAAUCCAAUUUAGCUAUUUUGAGACAGGAAAUAAAAUCAGGGAAAAAAUGUAAGAACUUUCAUUUUUCUAAAGAAAAUGAAAAUACACUAUACCUAUGAAGAAAUGUAUGCUAUGUGAACACUUUUAAAAAACAACAUACUUGGAAUUUUUAAAAUAAGCCGAACAACCACAUGCUUAGAAGCUCUACCACAUGACCUCCUGAUCUUCCACGAUUCUCUACUGGUACAGAGACUUUAUCUUUCACACAGACUUCAAAUAUCUUUGGGAAUUUGUGCUCCUUAUUUACUGAGUGCUUGAGAAGAAAAGACAAAGCCAGUGGAAUGGUCCGAGUGUGGCAUCCGCUGCAUUUAUAAAGAAUAAGAGCUGCAGUGGGUGUGAUUCUUGGACAGAGUGGCACUCAUCCUUGUUCCUGCAAUGAAGGACAUGCCAGCCUCCAGGCUCUUUGACAGAUGAUUGGAACUGUGCAAGUAUUAUGGAAGAUACCCCGUGUCAAGAAGCUGACAGCACACACGUUUGGGAAGGAUUUAGUGGCUGAAGCACUUCUAGAAGGUACAUACAUGAUUGACUCACUCUCACUUUGAAAUGAAGCUAUUUACUUCUUUUACCUUGAGAAAUGCCAAAACCUAGGGGGAAAGACUUAUUAUUGGGUGCAAUGCAAAGUCUUCACAAUUAUAAUUAAAAAGUAAAGUUUUCAUGAUUGUUAUUAAUUUACUAAGUGAUAAUCAUAACAGAAAAUAAAAUAUAUCUGAAUAUUACAUCAUAAGAUAUAAUCUUA